UGCGUUUCUUUGGCUAUAUAAGCUCACCGCGCCUAUGCAAUCGGCCAUUUGAAACGUGCUUCGAUCUGAGAUGGCUGCAGCUUAUCUCGCUGGUUUGGAUCUGGGUCCCAAAGCAGUAGCUCAAAUGGUGUUGAUAAAAAGACUGUACAGGUGCAUAACAUGAGGCUUAAGCAGGUGUGAGUGGUGCUGGAGUUCUGUGAAAGAUGCCAAAGCUGAUGGCUCUUCUCUACAAUCAGGUUGGCACUGUUGUAUACAGUAGCUGCAGUUGGUUGUGCCAUUUCCAUCCUUCUGCUCAUGCAUUUAUGGACUGGAGAUCUGGAAACCCUUCAUCUGGACCCUUCGUCUUGACCUGCUCUGUUGCAGGUCUACUAUAAGGUGUCAAACUAUGCCAGAUUACAUGCUGUUAUGUGGUUGAAACAGAGCUCAUGGGGCUACUGACAAGAUGCCAAACUGCCACACCGUUGAUAUUCAAAAGGACAGAUCAUUGAAGCUUGUGUUCCGAAGCUGCACAACUCUGCUUCUACACAUGGCAAAUCUGCUAUCCUGCUGAGGUUCUGGUGCCAAGCAUGAAACAAGACUGAAGUCUACAAAUGUCAUGUGGCUCUGUUGAUAACCUGUAAAUAAACUUAUUCUGACUGAC